ACACGACUACAUUAGAUACCCGGGUAGUCCCAGCCCUAAACGAUGCGCGUUAGGUGUAUCGGUGACCACGAGUCACCGAGGUGCCGAAGGGAAACCGUGAAACGUGCCGCCGUGGGAAGUACGGUCGCAAGGCUGAAACGUUAAAGGAAUUGGCGGGGGAGCACCACAACGGGUGGAGCCUGCGGUUUAAUUGGACUCAACGCCGGGAAGCUCACCGGAUAAGACAGCGGAAUGAUUGCCGGGCUGAAGACCCUGCAUGACCAGCUG
rnacentral:rRNA from 1 species